GACGAACGCUGGCGGCGUGCUUAACACAUGCAAGUCGAACGGAAAGGCCCUGCUUUUGUGGGGUGCUCGAGUGGCGAACGGGUGAGUAACACGUGAGUAACCUGCCCUUGACUUUGGGAUAACUUCAGGAAACUCGGGCUAAUACCGGAUAGGAGCUCCUGCUGCAUGGGGGGGAUUGGAAAGUUUCGGCGGUUGGGGAUGUACUCGUGGUUUAUCCGCUUGUUGGUGGGGUAGUGGCUUACCAAGGCUAUGACGGGUAGCCGGCCUGGGAGGGUGACCGGCCACAUGGGGACUGGGGUGCGGGCCAGACGCCUACGGGCGGCAGCGGUGGGGAAUAUUGCGCAAUGGGCGGAGGCCUGAUGCAGCAACGCCGCGUGCGGGAUGACGGCCUUCGGGUUGUAAACCGCUUUCGCCUGUGACGACGCGUGAGUGACGGUACUGGGCAAAGAAGCACCGGCUAACUACGU
rnacentral:rRNA from 1 species